AAUGAACGCUGGCGGCGCGCCUAAUACAUGCAAGUCGAGCGAGAAGACGUAGCAAUACGUUUGUAAAGCGGCGAACGGGUGAGGAAUACAUGGGUAACCUACCCUAGAGUGGGGAAUAACUAGCCGAAAGGUUAGCUAAUACCGCGUACGCUCCUUGGACUUCGGUUCAGGGAGGAAAGCGAUGCCGAGGGUAUCGCGCUCUUGGAUGGGCUCAUGUCCUAUCAGCUUGNGGUGAGGUAACGGCUCACCAAGGCUUCGACGGGUAGCUGGUCUGAGAGGACGAUCAGCCACACUGGCACUGCGACACGGGCCAGACUCCUACGGGAGGCAGCAGUAAGGAAUAUUGCGCAAUGGGCGAAAGCCUGACGCAGCGACGCCGCG
rnacentral:rRNA from 1 species